rnacentral:rRNA from 1 species
UACGAAGGGGGCGAGCGUUGUUCGGAUUUACUGGGCGUAAAGGGCGCGCAGGCGGUUCUGUUUGUCGGGUGUGAAAGCCCCGGGCUCAACCUGGGAACUGCGCUCGAAACGGCGGGACUAGAGAUCGGGAGAGGAGCGUGGAAUUCCCAGUGUAGAGGUGAAAUUCGUAGAUAUUGGGAAGAACACCGGUGGCGAAGGCGGCGCUCUGGACCGAGACUGACGCUGAGGCGCGAAAGCGUGGGGAGCAAACAGG